UACGCAGGGGCCGAGCGUUGUCCGGAGUUAUUGGGCGUAAAGCGCGCGCAGGCGGCUUGGCGCGCCCGACGUGAAAGCCCCCGGCUUAACCGGGGAGAGUCGUCGGGGACGGCCGGGCUUGAGGGCGGGAGAGGGUGGUGGAAUUCCCGGUGUAGUGGUGAAAUGCGUAGAGAUCGGGAGGAACACCUGUGGCGAAGGCGGCCACCUGGGCCGACCCUGACGCUGAGGCGCGAAGGCGUGGGGAGCGAACGGG
rnacentral:rRNA from 1 species